GCAGGGGGCUGGAUGACCGCGCAAAUGCGAGGAAAGUCCGGACUCCACAAGGCAACGGUGCCGGGUAACGCCCGGCCGGGGAAACCCGAGGGACAGCGCCACAGAAAUCAAACUACCCGACUUGUUUGGGUAAAGGUGAAACGGCGAGGUAAGAGCUCACCGCGUCCUUGGCAACAAGGAUGGCACGGCAAGCCCCACCGGGAGCAAUGCCAAAUAGGGACCGCACGCCGCAAGGCAAGGACGUCUUGGCCCAGUGGUCCGGGUUGGCAGCUAGAGGGGCCUUGGUAACAAGGUCUCAAGAUGAAUGGUCAUCCAGGAGGGCAACCUCUGGACAGAAUCCGGCUUAUAGGCCCCCUGCGUUU
rnacentral:RNase_P_RNA from 1 species